rnacentral:rRNA from 1 species
UACGGAGGGUGCAAGCGUUAUCCGGAUUCACUGGGUUUAAAGGGUGCGUAGGUGGGCAAGUAAGUCAGUGGUGAAAGCCUACAGCUUAACUGUAGAAUUGCCAUUGAUACUGAUGAUCUUGAGUAUGAUUGAGGUGGGCGGAAUGUGUCAUGUAGCGGUGAAAUGCUUAGAUAUGACACAGAACACCGAUUGCGAAGGCAGCUCACUAAGUCAUAACUGACGCUGAUGCACGAAAGCGUGGGGAGCAAACAGG